rnacentral:misc_RNA from 1 species
AACCAUAGAAACCUGCGGAGUACCUGCGGAGGGAUCAUUGAUGAAAUAGAAUAGUAGAAUUGUGUAUUCCAAAUACACACUCUCUAUUCACAAUCAUUAUCUAUACAUGUGAAGGGAAGAGAGGGAUGAGAUUAAUCUAAUCUAAUCUCAUCCCCUCUCCCAUACACAACAAAUCACUAUUGAUUUAUUACUAUUAUUAUCAUUAAUAACAUUUAUAAUCACUAAAACUUUUAACAAUGG